rnacentral:tRNA from 1 species
GCCCGGGUGGCGGAAUUGGUAGACGCGCUAGCUUCAGGAGCUAGUGGUAGCAAUGCCGUGCUGGUUCGAUUCCAGUCCCGGGCA